rnacentral:rRNA from 1 species
GCAUCCGCACAGGUGCUGCAUGGCUGUCGUCAGCUCGUGUCGUGAGAUGUUGGGUUAAGUCCCGUAACGAGCGCAACCCUUGUCCUUAUUUGCCAUCAUUUAGUUGGGCACUCUAGGGAGACUGCCGGUGACAAACCGGAGGAAGGUGAGGAUGACGUCAAGUCAGCAUGCCCCUUAUGUUCUGGGCUACACACGUGCUACAAUGGUUGGGACAAA